GUCCCCCGACCCAUUGUGACCCGGCAUUCUCCCUCCUAUCCCAGUGACACUCACAUAAGCCGCUCUAUUUCUAGAAAGGGAAACUCUUUCUGAAGACAGGGCAAGAACAGUCCCAAUGAAUCAAGGUUUCUUAUUGACCCCAAGUCUGCCUGCAGGCCUCUCUGCGUGGGACAGCAAGACCAGUAAGUAUUUUACUUCAGCUUUUUGGAAAGUUCAUCUAGACAUACAAAGGAAAGACUGGAAAUUUCUACAGACAGUCAUGAACCUUGGAGUUGUUUGCACCAGUUUGUCCUGCCCUCUUGAUCUGCCAAACCACUGA
rnacentral:lncRNA from 1 species